AGCUGAUGCGUAGGGGCGGCAAUUCUCGGCGGAACCACUAACCGCCUAAAGUGAUGCGCCUUGCCAAGAAGCAGUCUAUGUAAGAGAUUGCGCUUAUCCUAAAGGUGUCAGACGUGAGGCGGAGCCUCGUUAAAAAUCCUAUCUGACAAGCGUUUAGUUCGGAUGAGCCGCGCCAUCGUUAAAAACGCGGAAGCCAACUGGUGGGAGUAAAAUACCAUCUGGGGGCUAAAAGGCUCGUAAGCGCAGGGUAAACUGCAACAAGGUUCGGGAAUAAAAAUUGUGGCAUCGAUAGUCAGUACUUACAUUACUGGCUAUCUUUG
rnacentral:ncRNA from 1 species